UAGCCUGGGGAGAAAUGCCAAAUGUGGGUGAAGGGGAGAAGGAAAGAAAAGCACACUGCCAUGUGUGUACCUACGCAACUGUCUUGCAUGCUCUGCUCAUGUACCCCAAAACCUAAAAUCCAAUAAAAAAUUAAAAAAAAAAAUCUGUUAGCUAUUUCCAAAGAUACAAUAUUGUCAUUAACAAUAGUCACCAGAUUGCACAAUAGUUCUCUUGAGUUUAUUCUUUCUAUCUGCACUUUUGUAUCUUCUGAACAACAUCUCCUCAACCGCCCACCUGCACUCCAGCUCCUGGUACCACCAGUCUACUCUCUACAUCUAUGAAUUCAAUUUUCUAGAUCCCACAUAGGUGAUAUUGUGUGUUAUUAGUCUUACUGAGCCUGACUUGUUUCACUCAACAUAAUGUAUUCCACAUUCGUCCAUGUUGUUGCAGAUAAUGAGAUUUCCUUCUUUUUAUGGCUGAAUAGUAUUUAUUAUGUAUAAAUCCCACAUUGUCUUUUUCAUCCAAUGAUGUACACUAGGACUGAGUCCAUAUCUUGGCUAUUGUGUAUAAUCCUACAAUGAAUAGGAGAGUAUGGGUAUCUCUACAACAUACUGAUUUAAUUAUUUUGGAUUCCCAGUAUCAGGUUUGCUGAACAAUAUAAUAGUUCUAUUUUUAAUUUUAAUUUUAUCUGUAACUAAUUUAUAUUACCACCAAUGGUGAGCAAGGGUUCAUUUUCCUCCAUAUCCUCACCAAUGCUUAUUAUCAUCCAUAUUUUUGAUAAUGGCCAUUCUAAUAGAUUUGAGGUAAUACCUCACUGUGGUUUUAAUUUGCAUUUCUCUAAGGAUUGGUGAUGUUGAGCAUUUUUCAUACAUUUAUUGGCCAUUUGAAUGCCUUCUUUUGAGCAACUUUUCAGCUUAUUUGCCCAUUUUUCAGUCAGGUUAUUUGUUUUCUUGCUAUUUAAUUUGAUGUGGAUUGGCUCUGUGUCCCCAACCAAGUUUCAUCUUGAAUUAUAAUCCCCAUGUGUCUAGGGAGGGAUCUGUAAUCCCCAUAUUUGAAGGGAGAAAGGUAAUUGGAUUAUGGGAACGGUUCCCCCGUGUUGUGCUCCUGAAAAUGAGGGAGUUCUCAUGAGAUCUGAUUGUUUCAUAGGUAUUUAGAACUACUUCCUUUGUUCUUCUCUCUUCUGCUGCCUUUUGAAGAAAGUGCUUGCUUCCUCUUCACCUUCCACCAUGAUUGUAAACUUCCUGAGGCCACAGUCUUUCAUAACUAUAAGUCAAUUAAAGCCCUUUCCUUUAGAGAUUAACCAGUCUCAGAUAUUUCUUUAUACCAAUGUGAGAAUGAGCUAGAGUUCUUUGAGUUCCUUAUAUACUUUGGAUAUUAACCCCCUAUCAAAUGUACCAUUUGCAAACAUUUCCUUCUACUUCAUAGGUUGUUUCUCCAUUCUGUUGAUUGUCUGCUGUGCAGAAGCUUUUUAGUUUAAUAUAAUACUAUUUGUCUAUUUUUGCCUUUGUUGCCAGUACUUUUAGGGCCAUAUCCAAAAACUUCUUGCCCAGGCCAAUAUCAUUUAUGGUUUUGUAUGAGUUUUAUGAUUGUUUCUUCUGUGAAAAAAUGUCAUAGGAAUUUUUAUACAGAGUGCAUCGAAUCUGUAGAUCACUUUGGGUAGUAUGGACUAUUGUAACAGUAUUAAUUCUUCCAACCCAUUAAUAUGGGAUAUAUUUUCAAUUAUUUGUGUCUUCAAUUUCUUUCCUCAAUAUUUUGUUGCUUUCAAUAUGCAAGUCUUUCACCUCUUUGGUUAAAUUUAUUUCUAAGUAUUUUUUUGUAGCUGUUAUAAAUAAGAUUGUUUUCUUGAUUUCUUUUUGAAUGGUUCUUUGUUGUUGCAAAGAAACACUAGUGAUUUUUGUAUCCUGCAACUUUGCCAAAUUCUUUUAUUUAUUUGCAAAGAAACACUAGUGAUUUUUGUAUCCUGCAACUUUGCCAAAUUCUUUUAUUUAUUCUAACAGUUUUUAACUGGAGUGUUUUGGAUUUCCUAUACAUAAAUAUUGUCAUCUGCAAACAGUGACCAUUUAACUUCACCCUUUCCAAUUUGGAAGUCUUUUAUUUCUCUUGCCUAAUUGUUCUGGCUAGGACUUCCAAUACUAGAAUAUUAACUACUAUGUUGAAUAGAAGUGAUGACAGUGGGCAUCUUUGCCUUGCUCCUUAUCUUUGCUUUGCUCCUUACUACAGUGAAAAGCUUUCAACUUUUCACCGUAGUAUAAUGUCAGCUCUGGGUUUGUCAUAGCUGGCCUCGAUUGUGUUGUAGUUUACUCCUUCUAUAUCAAAUGUAUUGAGUUAUUAUCAUGAAACAAUGUUGAACCUUGUCAAAUGCUUUUUCUGCAUCUAUUUUGAUGUUCAUAUGGUUUUUGUCAUUCAAAUGUGGUAUAUUACAUUUAUAGAUCUGUGUAUGUUAAACUAUCCUUUCAUUCCUGAAAUAAUCCCAUUUGAUCUUGGUGAAUGGUUUUUUUAAUGUGCCAGUUGAUUUUCUUUGCUAUUAUUUUGCUGAAGAUUUUUUUAAUCUGUGUUCAUUGGGAAUAUUGACCUCCAAAAUUCUUGUCUUAAAGUGUCCCUGUCUGGGUUUGGUAACAAGGUAACACUGGCCUUGUAAAAUGAGUUUGGUUAUAUUUCCUCUUCUUCAAUUGUUCUGAAGAGUUUGAAAUGAUUGGGAUUAGUUUUUCUUUAAAUGUGUGAUAGAAUUCAGCUGUAAAGCUAUAAAAUCCUGGACUUUUCUUUAAGAGAGACUUUAUUACUUAUUCAAUUUCCUUACCCUUUAUUUAUAUGUUCAGAUUUUUCAAUUCUUUAUAAUUCCGUCUUGGUAGGUCAUCUAUGUCUAGGAAUUUAUCUGUUUCUCCUAGGUUACCCAAUGUGUUGGCAUAUAAUUACUUUUAGUAUUUGCAUAUGAUCCUUUUAUUUCUGCAUUGUAACACUUUUUAGUGUCUACAACUUCUAAAGGUGCUGGAGAGACAACAGAAGGUUAGAUUCUCCAAGGGAGUGCUCAUUUAUUUAUUCAUUUAUUUUAAAAUUAUUUAGUAAGCUCUACUCUACAUUAGGCAUGGUAUUGUAACUGGAAAUCCAGAACUCAGUCAAGUUGCACUGUUAAUUUUUUACGUAUUAUACCAUCAAAUAGUUAUACCACAAUUUCUAGCUAUGAGUGGAAAGCCUGAAACGGCUUCUCUAAGAUGGCAGAAACUAAGAGUGAUCUCACAAUAAUAUAAAUUGUUUACAGUAGUGUUUCUUAAACCUAAAUGUUCAUGUACUUCAGAAUAAUGUUAAAAUGUGGACUCUGGGUCAGUAGGUUCAGGGUGAUCCAUGGACUAUACUUUGAGUAUCAAACAUUAACAGUAAUUCAAUAUAGGUGAUAUUAAUUAGAAAGCACAUUUGGAAUUUUAUUUCUAUAGUUUUUCUCUUCAUAAUAUUUUGUCUUUUUGCUACAUUUUCAUAGUAUUUUUGUUUACUUUCUAGUGCAAUGGAUAAUUGCUGUCUUGAUUGGAAAGAGUAUAUUUUGAAUAUAUUCUUGAAAUGAAAAUAUGCCAUAGGUCACUGGUUACUUUGAAUAUUAAAAUAUGUUUUAAUAUUGUUGGGCUCUGAACACUGUAUAACUUAGUUCCUUCAGGGAAAAAAUGCUCAAUGAUGUAUUUUGUAUUAUUUUUAAAGUAUUAUUUUGUUAUUGUAGGGAGCACAUCAAUGCUGUCUUAUUUUCUCUGACAACCAAAUUAUUCUACUUUUUUCAGUACUUAACUAGAAUGAUCUCAAUCUUCAUUGCAAUGAUAAAUUUGUUACUAAUAUCCUGUGUAAACUUGACUAGAAACCUAGAGAAAAAAUCUUUUUCCUAUUUGAGCUAUAACUUUUAAAAUCUACCAAAAGAAUACUUACAAUGGUCACCCUAAGAUUUUGCAUAUUGAAAAACAAAACAAAAACCCAGGAAACAUUAUUGACCAGCCAACUACUGACAGUGUGAAUAUAACAAUCCUCAUUGUUAAAAUGAUAGUAUAGUCUGCUUAAUUCCCUGCACCUAUAGCUCUCUAAGUCUAAACUAGUAUUACUAACAUCACACGAAUAUUCCAUUGCCUCACCCCCAUUUUUUAGGGAAAGGUCUAGUGUAAGAAGCUUGGGUAUGCAAGUACAGAAUACAUUUUCCAAGGUCUGUGUACAUUAUCUAGUUUCUGCUCAGAUGUGCAAGAACUGGGAGUUUCUUUCUUUUUUUUUUCUUUUUUUCUGUGAUGGAGGUUCGCUCUGCCACCCAGACUGGAGUGCAGUGGCACAAUCUUGGCUCACUACCACCUCUGCCUCUCAGGUCCAAGUGAUUCUCCUACCCCAGCCUUGGAGUAGCAGGAACUAUGGGUACCUGCCAUCGCACCCAGCUAAUGAGCUUCUUAUUUCAUAAGGUGAGCUCACAUUGUUGUUUCACUGGUACCCUUUCUGCUCUUUCCUUAACAAAGAAAAGUAUUAUCAUAAGACAACCUCCAAAUAUUUGAAUUCGACCAUUCUGUCUCAUCUUAAUCCUUUCUUCUCUAAGUUAAAGAACUCAAAUUUGUGGCAGAGUUUUACAGAUUCUUCAUCACUUUGAUCCUUGUUCUCUGUUGUGCUCUAAUUAUGCAAUGUUUCUCUAAAGAUAUGACACUCUGAAUAGAUCAUGAUGACCCCAGUGGACCAGCACAAAGCACCACAAACACUCCUGAGACCUGGAUAACCUAAAAUUUUAAGGAUGUCAAUCUUCAGUUUGUAGUAAGCUAAGGGACACUAAAUCUCUUUCCACAUGAAAUGUAAGCCAGAUAUUUCUAUAUCUUAAACUAAAUCUACCAAUUAUUUAUGCCUAAAUGUAGUAAAUUAUAUUUUUCUUUGUUAAUUUUGUUAGUUUCAACACAACGUUCUAGCUCUGGUUAGGAUAACACUUGACUCAAUCCACUAUACUAUUAACUAUCCGCCCCAAUUCUUUUCCAUCUGAAAGUAUGAUAAGCUUGUCAUAUACGACUUCACCCAAAUAAUUGAUAACAUUUUUCAACAGUAUGAAAGCAGAAGACAGAGCCUUGUGGCAUUCCCAGAUGGCAGCAACCCAUUAAUCUUUUCUUUUUCUAUUUGUCUCCUUUGCUUUCUGGGAAGGCUUCAGGAAACUUACAAUCAUGGCAGAAGGUGAAGGAGGAACAGAUACAUCACAUGGCCCAAGCAGGAGUAAGAGAGAUGAGGGAGAUGCUACACACUUUUAUAUAACCGGAUCUCAUGAUAACUCACUCACUGAUGGAGUCUCAACCUGUCGUCCAGGCUGGAGUACAGUGGUGUGAUCUCAGCUCACUGCAACCUCCACCUCCCUGGUUCAAGUGAUUCUCCUGCCUCAGCCUGUCGAGUAGCGGAGAUACAGCAACAUGGAUGCAGCUGGAGGCUAUUAUCCUAAGUGAAUUAAUGCAGGAAGAGAAAAACAAAUACCUCAUGUUCUUACUUAUCAAUAUGAACUGAAUAUUGAGUACAUAUGGACACAACGAAGGAAACAAUUGACACUUGGGCCUACAUAAGUGUGGAAGGUGAGAGGAAGAGAAAGACCAACAGGAUCAAAGGUGUGGAUUCAGGACACACAGGAGGCACAGGAAGGAGAGUGGCCCGAUUAGAGCAGAGACAGACUGAGUUAAAGCAACUCUGGCCAACUGAGCACUAAAGAGAAACGACAGGAUUACUUGGACUGAAUCACUUGACCACCCAAAUUGUGUCCGUUUUCUAUUUCACAUAUUACAAAUGACGAUAUUCAUUUUCUCUUUUCUCCCUAUCCUAGAGACACAGCAAGGCUGUCAUAGCUGUGUUUAAUGAAUGAAAGAAUGAGUGAACUCUGAUCUCCUUGGUAUGUGUAAUGAAUAAAAUAUUUUUUGUGUUAAUAAUGAAAUACAGUUAUUUAACAUUUAACUGGCACAGAUUGAGAUUUCAGUUCUGAUGUCCGGAACUGUACUUUGAGUCAUCAAAAGACUUUAAAUC